UCGUGAUCUGUGAAUUGAUUAAGCAUUGCUAGUUAUUUUUAUAGAACUGAGAUUCAUUCCUUGUUCUCUUUAGUUUUGAUUGAAAGGACGAAUUAUCCAUAUUGAUCCUGUAGUUGGAACAAGUCUUGGAGUGUUUUCUUUCUGAAAAGAUCUGACAUUUCGUCCUGGUUCCAAUCGUAACCCUGUAGCAAAUCAAUAUCAUGCAAGGUCGAUACUUCGGUCGUGAAACAACUCCAAUCCAUGAAUGUAGUUUUUUUCUUAAUAUUUUAUUAAACUGAGAAGUACUGAAAUAAAUCCUUGAUUUGUAA